GAUGAAAAAUAAUACCAUGGAUUUGAUUAUCUUGUCAUGGAGAGAGAUGUGGUGUGGACACUAUCAGCUUUGGUUCCACUGAAGUUCUAUCAGAUUUCGCUUCAAAAAUUUUGGACCUUUGUUACUAGGUACAUAAACAUCUGAGGUGUUUAUUGGAGCUCUUUGCCUAGAACUGAUAAUUGGAUUCAUGGUAUUCUGGAGAACAAGGAAACAGGCUGAGGAAGAAUAAGAGACUUGCUUGAGGAAGAAAACUGAAGCCCAGAAAGCUUAAUAUAUUACCCAAAGAGUUAGUCCACAUUGAACUGGGAGUUAAUCCUUGUCUGUCUGGCUGGAAAGCUUUUGCUCUGUAUCUUGGAUGAAUAAACUAAACCUUAGGGAAUCUUCCUAGAAGAAACCAUAUAACGCCUCCUGUACGAGAAGUUAAAUUACAACACAAAGAUUGCUUGGUGAGCAUGUGAUCAAAACAGGGCAAGAUGAAGACCUUUAGAGGCCACAAGCAUUUUAGUGUGCCUCCCAACUUCCCUUAUAUUAUUCAAAAUAUAAACAAUAAAAUCUACAAAGAUGUGAAAGAAGUCCAACAAAA
rnacentral:lncRNA from 1 species